GGGCCGCGGGAUUAGAGUUUGAUCAUGGCUCAGAUUGAACGCUGGCGGCAGGCCUAACACAUGCAAGUCGAGCGGAAACGAGGAUAGCUUGCUAUUCGGCGUCGAGCGGCGGACGGGUGAGUAAUGCCUGGGAAAUUGCCCUGAUGUGGGGGAUAACCAUUGGAAACGAUGGCUAAUACCGCAUAAUAGCUUCGGCUUAAAGAGGGGGACCUUCGGGCCUCUCGCUUCAGGAUAUGCCCAGGUGGGAUUAGCUAGUUGGUGAGGUAAAGGCUCACCAAGGCGACGAUCCCUAGCUGGUCUGAGAGGAUGAUCAGCCACACUGGAACUGAGACACGGUCCAGACUCCUACGGGAGGCAGCAGUGGGGAAUAUUGCACAAUGGGCGCAAGCCUGAUGCAGCCAUGCCGCGUGUAUGAAGAAGGCCUUCGGGUUGUAAAGUACUUUCAGCAGUGAGGAAGGGUGUGUAGUUAAUAGCUGCAUACUUUGACGUUAGCUGCAGAAGAAGCACCGGCUAACUCCGUGCCAGCAGCCGCGGUAAUACGGAGGGUGCGAGCGUUAAUCGGAAUUACUGGGCGUAAAGCGCAUGCAGGUGGUUUGUUAAGUCAGAUGUGAAAGCCCGGGGCUCAACCUCGGAACCGCAUUUGAAACUGGCAGGCUAGAGUACUGUAGAGGGGGGUAGAAUUUCA
rnacentral:rRNA from 1 species